rnacentral:misc_RNA from 1 species
UCCGAGUUGACCCCGGCAGUCUCCUGCGAGUCCCCGCCAUUACGCGCUGGCAACACAGGACAAGGGUUGCGCUCGUUGCGGGACUUAACCCAACAUCUCACGACACGAGCUGACGACAGCCAUGCACCACCUGUAUACCGACCACAAGGGGGGCCGUAUCUCUACGGCUUUCCGGUAUAUGUCAAACCCAGGUAAGGUUCUUCGCGUUGUGGAAGCAAGCU